rnacentral:RNase_P_RNA from 1 species
ACCGCAGACCGCCUUAUCGUCGUCCCGUUUAAUCGGGAGGGAGGAAAGUCCGGACACCACAGAGAAGCAUAGCGGGUAACACCCGUCGGUUCCGAUUUAUCGGGAUUAGGACAAGUGCAACAGAAAGUAUGUACAGGUAAUGCUGUAGUGAAACCAGGUAAACUCUAUGCGGUGAAAUAUCAAGUAUAUCAGCAUUUAAGGACUUCUCGUCCGUUGCUGAAGGGUAGAUAGCUUGAGUCCAGCAGCAAUGUUGGAUCUAGAUAAAUGAUAAGGUAUUGUCUCGUUCCAAAAAACGAGACAAGAACAGAAUCCGGCUUAUAGGUCUGCAUUUUUU